rnacentral:lncRNA from 1 species
UAAAAUACUAAUCCAUGAUUAAAGUAUGCGUAAACCAUAAUUCAGCCCAAAACCGAACACAAACAAGAAAAUUAAGCCAUUUUCGCAUGGCUUAAUAUUACAUAAUCUAAAUUCGAGUAUUUCAUCUACGCUAUACAUGCCAUAAGAUCGAAUUCAAAAUUUACAAAAUACCGAGAGGAGUCGAUAGUGUGAUAAUCUUCUCUGACGAUCCCCGAGCUCGUAACCAACUUCCAAAAAUCUAUAAAACGAAGAACAACAUACACACAGUAAGCUAUUUAAAGCUUAGUAAGUCAUAAGCAAAAAUUCAUUUAUAUAUAUAUUAAUACUUAUUCCAUCAUUAAGUUAAAAUAAACCAAAUAUCAUAAUAUUUUGUACCAUAUAACACUUUAAUAAAAAUCACAUUGUAUUUUCAUAUAAACAAACCAUAUGGCCAAAUACACAUAAAUAUUUAGCAAAGCCGAAUAUUCAAUAAAUCAUUAUGCUAAAACAUGCUUAUACUCAAAUGAUUAACUCAUACUCUAUAUUUCAUUUGAAACUAUUAUCAAAUUAAAAUAAUCAACUUACCUCAUCAGCAAUUAAGCAAAUGGCUAACACAUACCUGAAUAAUUUAACUUUCUUAACACAUUUAUUUGCUUUUACUAUUGCUCAUAUAAAAUUUAUAAAACAUAGAGCCCUAUAUAAAACACCGGCAUAAAGCCUGCUAGGCACAAAGCCCGAUUCAUUUCACCGGCACAAAGCCUGCUAGACAUAAAGUCGGAAUUAAUUCACCGGCAUCAAGCCUGCUAGGCAUUAAGCCUGAAAUAAUCCACCGGCAUCAAGCCUGCUAGGCAUUAAGCCUGAAAUAAUCCACCGGCAUCAAGCCUGCUAGGCAUUAAGCCUGAAAUAAUCCACCGGCAUCAAGCCUGCUAGGCGUUAAGCCUGAAAUAAUCCACCGGCAUCAAGCCUGCUAGGCAUUAAGCCUGAAAUAAUCUCAUAUACAAAGAUGAUCUUUCGUAUAAUUCUUUAUGUUUACCUAAGUCUUACUCAAUAACCGUAUCUCCGUAAGAAUUGAAUUAUAUUCAAUUCUCCAUAGCAAACAAACAUUCGAACCACAUAUGUAUAAUUUACAACAUUAAAAUUCAGCUCAAAGAAUUUGUAACCUAUAUUCGAACCACAUAUGUAAGUAAAAUUCAUACAUUAAAUUCAGCUCAAGAACUUUGUAACCUAUAUUUGAACCACAUAUGUAUAUAAAAUUCAUACAUUAAAUACAGCUCAAGAACUUUAAAUAUAUAUAUUCGAACCAUAUGUGCAUAUAUAUAUAAUUCAUAAUAUUAAGUUCAACUCAAAGAAUCAAAGAACUUGUAUCAUACAUUCAAACUUUAUAUAUAUAAUUCAUAACUUUAAAUUCAACUCAAGAAAUUAAAUCUUACAUUCGAACUACAUAUCCAUGUACAUUCUACUAUUAGUUUCAUAUCAUUGAACUUAAAGCAUACUUUAGCUAAUAUACAUGUAAUUUAUACCAUUAAUAUCAACCUCCCAAAAUUAAUUUCUAUGUUCGGCUAUCACAUAGAAAAAUCACCAAGUUUUAUUCAAUUUAUAUACUUUUAGUUCCAGCUUACUAAAUGUAUGAUAGAUAUAUUUAUAUAAAUUCCAAUUUAAUAACAUUUAAAUUGCUAUUAGACUUACCUUGGAUGUCGUCGACUGUUAAAUCGGCUACUCGACCACUUUUGUAUUUCCCCGAUCCAAAUCCGAUUUCUUUAAUUCUUGAUCUAAGCAUAUUCAAAUUAAGUUUAUUUAAACAUCAUUCUAUUCAGUUUAACCUAAAAACACAUAAAUAGGCAAAUUACAAUUUUGCCCCUAACAUUUCACACUUUUUACAAUUUAGUCCUUUUUGCUCAAAACACAAAAUACACAAAAUUUGACUUCACUCCUUAAGGGCCGAAUAUUCCUAGUGUCCAUACAAGCCCACAUAUUUCAUUUAUUUCACAUUUUAGUCCCUCAAAAAUUUAUUUUUACAAUUAAACCCUAAUUACUCAAAUUCAUCAAAAACUCAAAGACACGACAUGUUAAUCUUUCACAUAUCUUUCAUAUUCCAUCAUCAACUAUCACAAAGCUCAAGCAUUCAUCAAUGGCAUUUCUCAAAAUCAUCAACAAUUCACAAAAUUAAGAUAUGGGUUUUGAAGUAUUCAAAGCAAUGAUCUCAAAAACGUAAAAAUUAUCAAAAACCAAACAAAAACCAACCUUGAAUUAAGCUUCAAAAUG